AUGAUCUCCAUUCUAGCUGGCCUACUCAACGUGAAGACAGUAAGGAUGAAGAUCUUCAUGAUGAUCCACUUCCACUUAAUGAACAAGUUUCUGAAGGAGAGGAGAAAGAGAAUAGGUUUAAAAAGCACUCGGGGGGAGGACUCAAGAUGGCACUGUGAGAACAACCCAGGAUUGGAGCUUGCGUUGUGUCCGCGGAAAGGUUUUUUUUUUUUUUUUUAUUCUACAGUCAAGAACACUCAUUAUUUUGGACAUUUCACAGAGGUGAAGAAGGUGCUGUUCUGGCUUAUGAGAAACACUAGGCCAGCGCGGUGGCUCACGCCUAUAAUCCCAGCACUUUGGGAGGCCGAGACCUGUACGACUAUGAAAGUUCUGAUCAGCUUCUCAGUCUCAUGCCUGCUACAUGUGAACUGGUAA
ensembl:lncRNA